rnacentral:lncRNA from 1 species
GCCAACCGACCAGUUAGCACUCAUAAAAGUUCGCGACCCGUAAGUGAACCAAAUUAUAGUACAACAUCGUGAAAGUGAAUUUACGAAUCGAUAAUUCCAACUCAGAGAAUCAUAGGUUGUUUCUCUAUUUAAGCAAACAAUUGAAAUCUCAGUCCAAAUUUAUCUGAAAAUAUAAAUAUAAUCGGAAUGUAAAGAAUUCAAAUAGAGCCAAAUGCAUAUAGAAGAUUCAAUCGAACUAAUUUAAUUAGUUUUCCUAUAUCAUCUUCCUUCUCAGUUAUUGAUAUUUGAUUUAUCCAUUUUUCUUUGUUAUUAUAUCAGAGAUUUUAAUCAAAGAUAGAUUUUAAUGGCUGUAGCUUCUGAUCAAGCCACAACCAUCUGCAGUCACUGGUAAGUUCUAACCCCC